GAGUGCGAUCAUACCAACGUUAAUGCACCGGAUCCCAUCAGAACUCCGCAGUUAAGCGCACUUGGGCUAGAGAAGUACUGGGAUGGGUGACCUCCCGAGAAGUCCCAGUGUUGCACCCU
rnacentral:rRNA from 1 species